GGGGGCGACAUGGUUUCGACGGGGAUAGUUGAAACCUAAGCUGCAUACCGAGGCCCUAUUCACUCGUAAAACAAUAGGAUCUAAACAUAAUCGCAGACAACUACGAAUAUGCCUUAGCCGCUUAAAGCGGCUAACGUUCCCCCAGUCUUUCCUGCGGGGCUGGACGGAGCGCCGAUUAGCAGGAUAGUCUCCUUUUGAUGCUUAUAUAAAGGGGAUAAAGCAAAAAUAAGCUAGCGUUUUAAUGACCCUGCCUGUAGGGGCUUUAAAACGCGAAUCUAAAAUACAGGCUAAGUAUGUAGAUGCUUAAGUGGAAUAUCUUCGGACGCGGGUUCGAUUCCCGCCGCCUCCACCA
rfam:Deltaproteobacteria bacterium CG2_30_43_15 cg2_3.0_scaffold_6515_c, whole genome shotgun sequence.